rnacentral:lncRNA from 1 species
AUGUGGAGGCUAUAUACAGGGUGUUACGGUACAGAGUCAAUGUGGAGGCUAUAUACAGGGGAGUACCGGUACAGAGUCAAUGUGGAGGCUAUAUACAGGGGCUACCGGUACAGAGUCAAUGUGGAGGCUAUAUACAGGGGGUACCGGUACAGAGUCAAUGUGGAGGCUAUAUACAGGGGGUACCGGUACAGAGUCAAUGUGGAGGCUAUAUACAGGGGGGUACCGGUACAGAGUCAAUGUGGAGGCUAUAUACAGGGGGUACCGGUACAGAGUCAAUGUGGAGGCUAUAUACAGGGGGUACCGGUACAGAGUCAAUGUGGAGGCUAUAUACAGGGGGUACCGGUACAGAGUCAAUGUGGAGGCUAUAUACAGGGGGUACCGGUACAGAGUCAAUGUGGAGGCUAUAUACAGGGGGUACCGGUACAGAGUCAAUGUGGAGGCUAUAUACAGGGGGUACCGGUACAGAGUCAAUGUGGAGGCUAUAUACAGGGGGUACCGGUACAGAGUCAAUGUGGAGGCUAUAUACAGGGGGUACCGGUACAGAGUCAAUGUGGAGGCUAUAUACAGGGGGUACCGGUACAGAGUCAAUGUGGAGGCUAUAUACAGGGGCUACCGGUACAGAGUCAAUGUGGAGGCUAUAUACAGGGGGUACGGGUACAGAGUCAAUGUGGAGGCUAUAUACAGGGGGUACCGGUACAGAGUCAAUGUGGAGGCUAUAUACAGGGGGUACCGGUACAGAGUCAAUGUGGAGGCUAUAUACAGGGGGUACGGGUACAGAGUCAAUGUGGAGGCUAUAUACAGGGGCUACCGGUACAGAGUCAAUGUGGAGGUUAUAUACAGGGGCUACCGGUACAGAGUCAAUGUGGAGGCUAUAUACAGGGGGUACCGGUACAGAGUGAAAGUGGAGGCUAUAUACAGGUGGUACCGGUACAGAGUCAAUGUGGAGGCUAUAUACAGGGGGCACCGGUACAGAGUCAAUGUGGAGGCUAUAUACAGGGGGUACCGGUACAGAGUCAAUGUGGAGGCUAUAUACAGGGUGUUACCGGUACAGAGUCAAUGUGGAGACUAUAUACAGGGGGUACCGGUACAGAGUCAAUGUGGAGGCUAUAUACCGGCUGUUACGGUACAGAGUCAAUGUGGAGGCUAUAUUCAGGGUAUUACGGUACAGAGUCAAUGUGGAGACUAUAUACAGGGGGUACCGGUACAGAGUCAAUGUGGAGGCUAUAUACAGGGGCUACCGGUACAGAGUCAAUGUGGAGGCUAUAUACAGGGGGUACCGGUACAGAGUCAAUGUGGAGGCUAUAUACAGGGGCUACCGGUACAGAGUCAAUGUGGAGG